rnacentral:ribozyme from 1 species
CGUCGGUCCAUCGGGGCAUCACAGCGCUUGACUGUGUGAGGCUCGAUGGGAAGACAGCCAGGGAAACACGCAGUCUCAGCAUCCUACUCCUUUCGGGGGAUGAUCGCGACUACGGUACAUUAACUGGC